UCUUACGGAUGAGCAAAGAAAGUGAUUUCUUGAGACGGAGUCUACUCCUGGUGAAUUGCUGUGAA
rnacentral:pre_miRNA from 1 species